rnacentral:lncRNA from 1 species
GCCCAAAUCUGCCACCCUGGGUGCCCAGGAAACAGCUAUCCCUGCCUCCACCCUGGUCUGUUCUCUGCUUUCGUGUCAAGUAUUCACAAGUAACAUGAGGCUGCAUCCAAGCCUCCAGAAGGUUCAGUCAGGAAGGUGAGAACGUAAGAGUUCUCAGCAUAAUUUUGUUUAUAAGAGCAAAAGUGUAUUUGUUUACACAGUAGACACUAAGCCAAAGCAGAGGGAAACAUAUGCUCCAGACCACACCACUAACAAAGGCAAAUGUUCAUUAUCAGGCCACAGACAAACACACGUGCACUAUGUACACUAUAACCUUGUUUUUUAAAAGAUUUUUAGUAAGCCCCCCCACCCCCAAAAAGUAAUUUAUUACUGUUUUCUUAAUACAGUUUGAUCCUGUAUGUAAACUUGCCCUAUAAUCUUUACUACAAACCUUCUAUAACUGUUGUAACCACUCAAGCUGACGUUCAUUAUCAUCUUUAUUUUUUCGGAACACUCAAUUUCCAAGAAAAAGAAAUAGAAAGUACUUUCUGUUCAUCCAUUCCCAAUAAUGUUUAUAAACUCUCUGCUUAGGGGUUCUAGUUACGUAGGUUUGGAGAAGGAAUCUAUUAUUCUUUGCAAGUAUUAAUCAGUGACCUUUUUUCCUCUUUUUCUCCUUUCUCCUGUUUCCUUGAAAACUCACCUCAACGGGUAAAAAAUUUAUAAACUUUCAGAAAUGGCCACAAUUGGUAGAUGCUCAGUGUAGACUCCUUAAAGAAGAUAGAAGUUAGAUGUCUUACUCACUAGCUAUCUAACCUCUCAGACCUGAAGAGUAUCUCAGGAAUGAGUAUGUUGAAGUGUUGGGACAAGCCUCACUUCUCCAUUUGCAUUUCUAGAGCCAGGAACUGAAGCUGAAUGCAGGAUGUCUGUCUCAUGCUGUCAGAUGCCACUCCCUGCAUAAGCCAGACAAAGAGAAGUGGUCAUAAUGGAACCCUCUAUGAGGAAGAUGAAAAGCAAACGUCACUGAGGUCAGACAGAAAACCAGCUGAGGAGGAAGAGGGUUGGCUAGAGAUAUGCAGACUUUGGAAGAAGACAUCAGUCAGAGAUGCAGAGUUGUUUUCUGAGUUUACAGCUCUCAGCAUGGAAACCUUACUGCCAGUAGAACUGAUUUUAAUGUCAAAUGAUUGAGGGAAGUUCACAAGACACAUGAACACAAAUUACCAAGAGGGGAUGAAGUAUACCCAUUGCCUCUUAACUGGUGACUGAUGGAAUUCUGUGUUAAAUCAUAGAGUAAAAUUAUUUAAUACUCACAAAAUACAUAUCAGAUUUAACAAACAAAUCCAAACUUGCCUUUGUCUGGAGUUUGUUUGUGCUUCCUAUGUGGCUUGAAAGGUUUCAUUCUUGAGGCUCUGUACUAAUAAACAAUAUUGCAACCAGUUUUAAAUGCUGAAC